rnacentral:rRNA from 1 species
CCCGCUGAACUUAAGCAUAUCAAUAAGCGGAGGAAAAGAAACCAACCGGGAUUGCCUCAGUAACGGCGAGUGAAGCGGCAAGAGCUCAAAUUUGAAAGCUGGCUCCUUCGGAGUCCGCAUUGUAAUUUGCAGAGGAUGCUUUGGGUGCGGCCCCCGUCUAAGUGCCCUGGAACGGGCCGUCAGAGAGGGUGAGAAUCCCGUCUUGGGCGGGGUGUCCGUGCCCGUGUAAAGCUCCUUCGACGAGUCGAGUUGUUUGGGAAUGCAGCUCUAAAUGGGUGGUAAAUUUCAUCUAAAGCUAAAUACUGGCCGGAGACCGAUAGCGCACAAGUAGAGUGAUCGAAAGAUGAAAAGCACUUUGAAAAGAGAGUUAAACAGCACGUGAAAUUGUUGAAAGGGAAGCGCUUGCGACCAGACUCGCCCGCGGGGUUCAGCCGGCAUUCGUGCCGGUGUACUUCCCCGUGGGCGGGCCAGCGUCGGUUUGGGCGGCCGGUCAAAGGCCCCUGGAAUGUAGUGCCCUCCGGGGCACCUUAUAGCCAGGGGUGCAAUGCGGCCAGCCUGGACCGAGGAACGCGCUUCGGCACGGACGCUGGCAUAAUGGUCGUAAACGACCCGUCUUGAAACACGGACCAAGGAGUCUAACAUCUACGCGAGUGUUCGGGUGUCAAACCCGUGCGCGCAGUGAAAGCGAACGGAGGUGGGAGCCCCCUUGCGGGGCGCACCAUCGACCGAUCCUGAUGUCUUCGGAUGGAUUUGAGUAAGAGCGUAGCUGUGGGGACCCGAAAGAUGGUGAACUAUGCCUGAAUAGGGCGAAGCCAGAGGAAACUCUGGUGGAGGCUCGCAGCGGUUCUGACGUGCAAAUCGAUCGUCAAAU